CAGCCGCCGCGGUAAUACGAAGGGGGCUAGCGUUGUUCGGAUUUACUGGGCGUAAAGCGCACGUAGGCGGAUCCUUAAGUCAGAGGUGAAAUCCCAAGGCUCAACCUUGGAACUGCCUUUGAUACUGGGGAUCUCGAGUUCGGGAGAGGUGAGUGGAACUGCGAGUGUAGAGGUGAAAUUCGUAGAUAUUCGCAAGAACACCAGUGGCGAAGGCGGCUCACUUGCCCGAUACUGACGCUGAGGUGCGAAAGCGUGGGGAGCAAACAGGAUUAGAUACCCCGGUAGUCCCUGUCUCUUAUAC
rnacentral:rRNA from 1 species